GCAUGCCUGGCUCCCUGUAUGCCACACAUGUAGCCCAACCCGUGAUGUGAUUGGAUGCUGUGGGUGGCGUGCAAGGAGCCAAGCAUGU
rfam:Zea mays cultivar B73 chromosome 6, whole genome shotgun sequence.